rnacentral:rRNA from 1 species
UACGUAGGGUGCAAGCGUUGUCCGGAAUUAUUGGGCGUAAAGAGCUCGUAGGCGGUUUGUCGCGUCUGCUGUGAAAACUCGGGGCUUAACCCCGGGCCUGCAGUGGGUACGGGCAGACUAGAGUGCGGUAGGGGAGAUUGGAAUUCCUGGUGUAGCGGUGGAAUGCGCAGAUAUCAGGAGGAACACCAAUGGCGAAGGCAGAUCUCUGGGCCGUAACUGACGCUGAGGAGCGAAAGCAUGGGGAGCGAACAGG